AUUAUCAUCAAGGUGGGAACAUGGCAGCAUCCAGGCAGGCAUGGUGCAGGAGGAGCUGAGAGUUCUACAUCUUCAUCUGAAGGCUGCUAGUGGAAGACUGACUUUCAGGGUCUUAAGCCCACGCCCACAGUGCCACACCUACUCCAACAAGGCUAUACCUUCUAAUAGGGCCACUCCCUGGGCCGAGCAUACCAUAACACAAGUAUAUUGUUUGCAGAUGCAUAACCCGCCAAGUAAGGGAAGUCCAGUGCAUGGCGAGGAAGAAGACAGCUGUAAAACUAACUGGAACCAUUACCAGAGUGUUGGGAGGGGUGGCUGUUAGGAUAAUAUUGUGCAGUGUGUAAAGACUGUCUCUAUUAUCCAAAUGCAGAUUUCUCUGUUGGCAGAGAACUGAGUACAAGCAGACGUUGGUAUUCUUAUUAACAUGGCUACAACGAAGUAUGUAAACGCUCCCUCUUUCACCUUCUGAUUGGCUCAUCAAAAAGACCAUGGCCUGUAAUGAAGGCAGAAGUAGAAGGUGGGACUUCCUGGAAGAGUGAGGAACUCUGGAAGAAAGUCAGGCCAGGGAGGAUUCAUCAGGAAGAUGGAGCCCACCUGGAAGGAAGGAGAGUUAACUAACCAGUUACCUGGUAAAACCUAGAUUAGUGUAAAUGGGAUAAUUGAGUUCUGAGCUAGCUGGGAACAAUCCUAACUUUAGGCCUAGGCAUUCAUAAAUAAAUGUCUCUGUGUCGUUAUUUGGAAGCUGGUGGUCCCAAAGAAAGUCCCUUACAAGUGCUAUUGGAGAGAGAGAGAGAGAGAGAGAGAGAGAGAGAGAGAGAGUGAUUAUGUUCACCAAACCUCAGUUUUUUAGCCUUAUCCUCCCAGACCUGCCCAAACCGCCUUUGAGUUGAUAAGGACAUAAUAAUAUCAGAUACUGACGUCAUUUUGAGUUUUAUAGAAAUCCCUGCCUAACAAUUGCAUCCCCCACCCCCUCUCCCGAACCCUUAAUUAGGCCAUGCGUGAGUGUUUCCGUUUGAUUGCUAGGCUGCAUUCUGGGUCGCUUCCCAACAGCCUAGGUGACAGCUCUUCACGGGACACCUGAAUAACUGUGAGGUGAUGAACUGUGAGACCUCACAUGAUACACAGUCUUUAAAAUAGUCAGCGUGACAUAAUGCACCAGCUAUGACCCAGGUUGUGGUGGAAAGUAUCUGGGGAGGAAAAUUAGGAUCAAGAUAGUUGAAAGAUAGCCAAUUUAGAAUCUAGACCAGGGUAGGGAAGACUAAGGUCAAGGAAACUUUCUACCCUCCCACCCCUCUCUCUUGGCAACAGUUCUGAAGCGCCCCCGCAGUGUUCUGUAAGGUGCCACAGACAGAAACAAUACAAAAGGAACCCGGGGUUUGCUAAGACAUUAGAGCCCCAGGAAAUCUCCUGUCGGAGAAGUUGGACAGCUCUCUUGGUGUUUAUCCUCUGUUUCCAGAAUCUUCCACGUUUAUCUCAAACGUUUCAGUGAUUGCCUUCCUCCAGGCAAUAGACCAUGCUUUCCGGAGAUCCGACCAGCAACUUGGCUGUCCCAGCGCCUGUUUCCAAAAUGACUGUGUGGGAACGCAACUCAUACCCUCUCCCAACAGUAGGUGGCAGCACUAACCUUGUUCAUUUCGCUCCCGCAUCUGUAAGAGCAAGCCGAAUUUACUCAGUGGCAACAGUUUAAGGACAAACCUUAUUUAAUGUUAUUUCUCAAGAAUAUAGGCAAGUAGGUGAGUAACUUAAAAACCCGACUAAGCUCUUGGCCAUGAAGAGACUGGAGGAACCGCCCACAUUUAGACACGUUGAAAUGUGAAGCAGAGACCUGACUCAUUUAUACUAAUUUUUCUUCUUCACCGAAGUCUCAGGCAAAGCUAGUUAGUAGACCAUUUCAGAAGAAAGUAAGUGCUUGAAGUCAGACCCGAAAAUUCUUAUUUUAAUGUGAAAUUUACAUCUCAACAUUUUAAAGUUACGUUUAUUUAUUUGCGCCCCGGGGGUGGGGAAGGGCAUUCAGGUGGAGGUCAGAGAACGACUUUCAGAAAUGGGUCUGGCCUUUCACUGGGUGGAUUGGAGGCUGACUUUAGGUUGUCAGCCUUGGUGGCAAGCACCUUUACCCGCUGAGCCCUCUUGCUGGCCCAGGCAGUUUUAAUUAUGCUUUAAAAAACAAACAGCAACAUCAAGAAAACAACAAAAAAUCAAAACAAAACAGAUUUUCCUUUUAAAGAGCAGCCUUAAGUCAAAAGCAAAAUUGAGAUAAAAGUGCAGCGAUCCCCACGUGUGCUCUGGACUCCCCAAGACUAUGAACAUCUGCACCAGGGUGCUGCCGGCUCCUGCUGCUCAACAUGGUUAUUUUCUCAGCUUCCCAAGGGCACAGUUUACAUGCGUCUUCCCUUGGAACGGUGCGCUCUGCUCUGCGAGUUUGGAACUAUGUACAAUGCGGCGUUUUCUCCUACACGGCAUGCGGAGUAUUGCCACUGUCCUAAGUGCCUCCACUCUCCAUUCGCUCCCCAUUCCUUUCCUCCAACCUCUCGACUCCUGAAUGUUUUGCCUCGGUCUUCCCAGAAUGCCACACAUGGGUGGGUUCUUACAGUGUAUUCUGUAAUGGAGUUGGCUGUUUCACGUGUCAAUCAACUUCUAGGCCCAUGCGCUUCCGUGUCAAGACAGCCGAUUUUCUUUAGUGCCGAGUGCAAACCUGUUGGCUGGGCCACGGUCUAUUCUCCCGUUUACCUCAAGAACGCUUGGUUGCUUCCAAGUUCUGGAUCACGUACAAAGCUGCUAUCAGCACCCGUGGGAUGUGAGCUCUCACCCUCUACACCAGCUGCCAUGACGACAGUGGACGCGUAUCCCCCUGGAACUAUAAGGAUACUUUGGUGGUGAUAUUCUAACACAGCCAUAGAAAAGUAAGACACCAGGGAACCAACUAUCCGAGCAGAACUUUCCCGACCCGAAGGAGCUGAGGGGAAAUGAAUCACUGAUGGACCGUCACCUGUAAUUUGAUAAUUGGCUUCUAACAACCGGUUUGGCCUUGAACAAUGAGCCACACUCUCUUUACUGCUAGAAUGUUCCAGAAGGAAGGAGACAAACACCAUACAAUACUGUGCAGACGCCCACUGUCCAUCCGUUGAGAAGACUUCCAUCUGCCGGGGUGCGGUGUGCCCUGGGGAGGAGGCUGAGUAACCGGCACAGUGUAUACUUGGAUAAUGACAGUGAGCUAACCUUUCCUCAGAACUCCAUGGAACCACGACACUCAAAGUUAAGUUGACCCUGUAGCUUUACUCCCCGUUAUCUGCUGCCUCCAGGUCGAGAUCGUCUCUCAACAUUUGCCUAAGAUGUAGCGUAAAGUCCUUUGAGGGGAAGUGAGCACAGUGUCCCACCCGGCUAAUGGCUGCCCCAGCAUUUACUCUCACCAUCUGAGAACGCUCGGGGAGCUUCAUUCACUAGGACACAUACUCCUCUCUGGUUUGGGCCACUUACUAUUCAGUGGUGUUCGGAGCCAUGGCCACGCGGCAUAGGCCACACUUACGAGUAUGUCGCUCUUCUGUUCUAACUGUGCACAGCUUCAGAGGGACCUGGCUGCACACAGACAUGGUGCUUGGCAGAAAGGAACUCUGUCUUGAUAAAUGCACAUCCACAGUCAGGGGCAGUUGAGUAACAGGAAACGGUCGUGAUAAAUCCGAGCCUUAUCUAUCAACAGUUAUGUCCCUGACGGCAGGCGCCCAGUGUCAUCUCCUGUUGACUUCUCAAAGCCUGGCACAGCAUCUCCCACAUAAACGCUUGGCAAACGAAGCGAAAGGUGAACAGGCAGCUGUGCAGCAUGGCCGCUAAGGCACUCAUUCCCUCAGCAACUCCAAUGCUAAUUUAACUCAUUUUUAUGUCCUGGCUUGGGAGCGGGAGAUAAAAUACUGCUUUUCUUCCAGCCAUUGCUCCAAAGCUAAAUUUAUAUGUUACUCAUACCCACGUCACCACAGGCUAAUUAGAUGUAAGAAUUUACUCCCGGUUCAAAGAAAUCUGACUUCAAAGCAGAGCUGAACUCACUUUUAAAUCAAUCAUCUCGCAUUCUCCCUUCCGCCAACAGAAAAGGACAAAGUGUCAUUGUUCGCCAGCAUGGCGCUGAACGUCAGGUCAGCCACUCCAACCCAUCUGGGAUAUGAACAGCUAUAUUUGCAGAGAAUACAAUAUUUUAUGUUUUAUCAACAUUAUUUUAUUUUAUGUGUGUAUUUGUCUGCAUGUGUGCCUGUGUACCACAUGCUGGCCCGGUAACCAAGGAGGCCAGAAGGAGGCAUCGAGUGCCCUGAACCUGGAGUUCCAGUCAGUUGAAGUCUUCACGGGGGCGUUGGGAGCCAAACCCAAUCGUCUGCAAGAGCAACACGUGUCCCUAACUAGUGAGCCGUCACCUCUCCAGACCCCCAAAUUCUUUAUUAAUUCUGUGGCAAUGUGCAAGGUGACACGAUGGCAUCAUUUGAGUGGACUUUGGAUUUAUCUGAUCACUGUGACACACACACUGCAGCUUCCAUUGUAAGAAUUUUUUUUCAAUUUUCAGAAAUUUUCUUUUGGGGGUGACAAGGGUGGAGGACUGGGAAAUGAGUGGGUUUGGGGUGCAUGAUGGGAAAUUCACCAGAAUCAAUAAAAAAGUAUGCUAAAAACUCCCAAUGACAUUUAGAUACGUGUCACCUAGGGAUGAUUGUUAGAACUUUGAUAAUCUGAUAAGAAGCCACCUGGACAUCGUGAUGAAUGAUGCAAGGGAACAGGAGAGAAAGAGGCCGAGGCCGUCAUAGCCUCGUGGUACAGAGUCCUGCUCAGCAUAUGCAGCCACAGGACCUGAGGCACAGGUAAGGUCAGGAACCAGAAGAGGCAAAGGAGGAGAUAGUGGUGGCCUGACUUCUCAGGAAGCUUAGUCUGCAGACAAAGUUUCAUAUGACUUAGACUCACUCUGUGUGGAUGGUUGAGUUGGCCUAGGCUGCCGUCUGUGUCUUGGAGAGUUGCCUAGCAAUUUCUCAGGAUUUCUGGAAGGUGUUGGUACCUGUCUUUUCAAGAAUAGUUGAGACAUGAUCAAGAAGAGAACACGCUCCCAUUAUUCUGAAAAAAAAAGAAGAAGAAGAAGUCAAACUGAAGUGUCUCUUUCCGAGGGGAGAGCAGAUUGUUUGACCUGAGCUCAGCCCAGCUCAGUAAUUACAAGGCAUUUUGUCUGGUGUUAACUUAAAUCACUUUCUAACUACUGACACCUAUUAAUUUUCUCCGUUAGAGUCCAGUGGCUUUGUUUCAAAAGUAGAUGGCCAUGGUUUUUAAACCUCCCAGAUGAUCCUAGUAAUUUGAAAGGUCAUUCCUAAUACUGUCAUUAUGUAAAUAUUUUAGCCAUAAAGCCAAACACUGAGUUUGGUGGGAGAAAACAAAGUGAGGGAUUUUAUUAUUUAUAGAAAACCGGAGACUCUCAGUAGCAGAUCCAAGCUACUGGAUCCGUUUUAACUUCAUUCUAGAAUACUUCUUGUCUGAGUUAUAUUUAAAUAAUAAUAUUUCUUGCACCUUAAGCCACCUGUUUUUGCAGGGUGCGGGGGACAGGGAUGGUGUGCACACAUGCGUGUAUAUCCCCAUGCCUGUGAGGGUCAGGGGUCAAUUUGGGGGGCUGUCCCUCAAGGUCUGUACCACCUUGUGUUUGUUUGGUUGUGCAUUAGUUUGUCUGAUCUGGGGCCUCUCUCACUGGGGCCUGGACCUCAUCAGUCAGGCUAGUCUGGAUGCCUAGUGAGCCUCAUAGAUCUGCCGUCUCCACCUCCCCAAAUACUGGAAUUGCAAGCAAGCAUCACUGUGCCCUCCUCAUCCAUUGGCUCUCAGGAUGAAACUUGGGUCAUCAGGUUUCACGGCAAAGCACCACGUGGACUGAGCCAUCUCCUUAAUCUUGCCCUACUCCAUGGACUUGUUCUGUGUUUGCAUGCUAGACCUUAUGAACUCUCCUAUAUCCAAGUGCUCUUUUCCCCUCCCUGCCCAAAUGCCUGACUAUAGCAUUCUUUAAAAAAUAUUCAUCUAGGGGCUGGAGAGAGAUGGCUCAGUAGUUAAGAGCACUGACUGCUCUUCCAGAGACCCUGAGUUCAAAUCCCAGCAACCACAUGGUGGCUCACAACCAUCUGUAAGGGGAUCCGAUGCCCUCUUCUGCUGUGUCUGAAGACAGCAAAAGUGUACAUAUAAAAUAAUUAAUAAAUAAAUAUUUUUAAAAUAUUCAUCUAAAAUCUUUAUUUGUACGCAUGUGUGUGCACAUGCCUGUGGUGUUAUUAGAGCUGGCUACUCUGUGUUUGGCGUGGCAGGUGGUUGUGACCCCCUGACAUUGGUGUUAAGAGGUGAUCUUGGGCCUUCAGGAAGAGCAUUAAGUUCUCUUUAGCUAGUGAGCCCUCUCUGCAGCUCCCUGAGCAGUGGACUCUUAAACGCUAAGCUGAAGUUUGUAUCAUCAACAUCUGCUGUUCCCUGCUUCGCAGGUUCUGUAUGUAGCUGUUUUGACUUUCAACUUUUCUUAUAAAAAGAGUUUGGGGUAGGGAGCAUAUGCCGCAGCUUGUAUGUGGAGGUCAGUGGACAACUCUGUGGCGUUGCUUCUCUCUUACCAGUCCCUGCCUCCUUUGAUGUACACUUCUAAAAUUUUACAAGCAUUCACCUAGAUUUUUAAAGUCUUUCUUGGAACCUAUCUGUUGCAUGUUCGGGAACAGGCCGCACUAAUUCCCCAGAUAAAAGACACAGACAUAGCUGUUCAUUUUCAACUUGCCUUUAUAGCACAACUGUAGGGCACUACUAUCUCCUUCCUGGAAAAUUGUGCCCUUGCUGACAUUCUUAUCUCCGUACCUCCCACCUGCCCUAACUUUAGUCGCUCAGUUAAAUCUAGUCCCUGCUAAACUCCCCUGACCACCUGUAGGAGCCACUCCAUCUCAAGAUCUCAGGUGACUGGCCAACUUCUCUUCAUCAGAUGCAUGGCGGACUCGACUCCCCUCCCUUAUGUCUGUCUGCAUUUUUCUCCAGGGACCCGGAAGUCCGGCCUCUUCCUUCCACACAGCAAUUGGCCCAUGGCUUUCUUUACUGACAGAUCAUGAGCCAAUUGGGGAACAUGAUCUUAGCAUCAGACCCACACUGACACCUAUGAGGAACUUUUCUCUACUAGAUAGUUUCUGUUCUUAUUUCUCAAUUAUUUCCUUCUUCUGUUCAUCUGCUUCCUUAGUGCGUGCGUGCGUGCGUGCGUGCGUGGGUGCGUGCGUGCGUGCGUGGGUGCGUGUGUGUGUGUGUGUGUGUGUGUGUGUGUGUGUGUGUGUGUCCUGUUCAUGUGUGAAUGCCAGCAAACACAUGGCACAGUGCCUGUGUGGAGGUGGGAAAACAGUCCCAGCUUUCUUGGUCUUCAACAUCCACAUUGUUUGAGACUGAGUCUCCUGUUCAUCGCUGUAAAUGCCGGACGAGCUGGCCUCUGGGCCUCUAUCUCCCCAUCCCGCGUUACCAUAGGGACACUGGGAUUGUAGAUGUGAGCUUUUGCAGCCAGCUUUCCUUGGUGUCUGGAUACCUGAACUCCAGUCUUUGUCACUGAGCUGACCUCCCAGUUCCUUGGCCUCCUACUCUUUAACUAGGUGAAGCCGGAUACUAAUCUUGAGACAAACCUCUCGGGUCAGACUCUCUGGGUUUGAAUGACAGCAGGGCUCUCAUCAGCUGCACCACGUUGGCAUUUCAGAAACCUCUUCCACAUAUCCAUCGCGAGUUAGCUCUCUGUUGGAGGGUUCAUGUCAGGAUCACACAAUAGCUACAGCUGUGCAUACCCCAGCCAGUCAGGAGGCUGGGGUCGAGUGAGAGGGAGCUCAGCAUUUGAGAUUGGCCCAGGCAGCUUGAGGCUCCACAGUAAAAAGUGUGAAUGGAAAUAAGUGGUAUGGAGCACGCUCAGAAUAGCCUGGUCACACCCUUAAUUGCCCGUAUUUCCUUCUGUAUGCGCUCUUCUCACAUUGCUCUGUGAGUGAAUUCCUAUAAUCAUUUUGCCUGCUUUGUUAAUUCAUGUUCAGCAAAUUAAUUAAUUCCUACAUAAAAAUUAAUUACCAUGUGGGAAACUAUACCCAGCAGCAUGUGAGACUGCCAAGGCACUUAGGGUCCCGGUUGACCUAAGGCUUGAAACCCCGGAGACCCUGAAGGGACAGUGGGUGUUUCGCCCGUUCCUGGUCACCAGGCCCCUGUCACCAGGCCCCCCCAUACAUUUGUGGCCGUCAGUCAUAUGGGCAAUGCCCCAAGCCCCUCCACAUGUAGAGGAAAGACUGGAUCUCGAUUUUAAUGAGGUACCUAAAGGCCUGGAGGGCUUAGCCAAUAAGCUUUCCUUCCCAGACACUCCUCCCUGCAAAAGGUAUUUACCCUCAGGCCCACCCUGAGAAGUGGGGUACUACGGUUCUACACAUCCACUUUCUGCAAUGACGAUAAAUGCCUUAAAACCACGGACUGCCUCUUCUCAUCAGGAUCUGCAGUGAGGAGCCGUGGAGAAGACCUUCGCCUAUAGAACCACCAUCUAAUCUCUUGUAGAAGGCCUGCCUCUCUGUGCUCCCAGAAAUGACCAAGCCAAGCUCAAGCCGACAAGCCAAGAAUUCUCCCCGUAGGACUGGCCCAGGCUCCCCUCUUUUCUCCCUUGGCCUGGGGCUAGAUCCAGCCUGUGGUCCCCCACUCCAUUCUCAGCUCUUCCAAGGGAUCCAGUGGUGCCUGGGUGUCUGAGAGCCUGAGAACCAGGCGACCUGGCCUUGGGGCAGGCCCGGGAACCCCUGAGCCAGCCAGAGUUGGCAAUCCUAAGCCUCAGACUGCUCUUCCCCAUUCCCGGAGUGGUGUCUUGCGGCUUCCCUACGGCCUGACACCCACCCAGCGACAGUGUGUGGUAAGCACAGUCACUUCCUGUAUCUUGCCUCCCCUGUGGCAGAGCAGACACAGGCACCAUAACCCUACAGCAGCAAAUCUUUUCUUAUUUAUUAAUUGCUCCAUUUUCAUUAAAUUAUAAACUUUGGGUUUCUGAUAUCAACUCUAGCUUGCUUAUUUAUUUAUUUAUUUAUUUAUUUAUUUAUUUAUUAUGUGUAUGUAUGUGGGGCAUGUGUGGGGACAACA